rnacentral:rRNA from 1 species
CCUACGGGAGGCAGCAGUGGGGAAUAUUGCACAAUGGAGGAAACUCUGAACCAGCCAUGCCGCGUGCAGGAUGACGGUCCUAUGGAUUGUAAACUGCUUUUAUACAGGAAGAAACCCUACUACGUGCAGUAGACUGACGGUACUGUAAGAAUAAGGAUCGGCUAACUCCGUGCCAGCAGCCGCGGUAAU